rnacentral:snRNA from 1 species
UCUCUGCUGUAGCAGCAAGGG